rnacentral:ncRNA from 1 species
UGUCUUCGGGGCGGGGUGCAAUUCCCCACCGGCGGUGACUGGAUGUUUCCAGAAGCCCGCGAGCGAAAGCUGACCCGGUGUGAUUCCGGGGCCGACGGUAUAGUCCGGAUGGAAGAAGAA